rnacentral:rRNA from 1 species
UCCAGACUCCUACGGGAGGCAGCAGUGGGGGAUAUUGCACAAUGGGGGGAACCCUGAUGCAGCGACGCCGCGUGGGCGAUGGAGCGCCUCGGCGCGUAAAGCCCUCUCAGCAGGGAAGAAGAUGACGGUACCUGACUAAGAAGCCCCGGCUAAAUACGUGCCAGCAGCCGCGGUAAUACGUAUGGGGCAAGCGUUAUCCGGAUUUACUGGGUGUAAAGGGAGCGCAGGCGGCCUGGCAAGCCUGAUGUGAAAUACCGGGGCCCAACCCCGGGGCUGCAUUGGGAACUGCCAGGCUGGAGUGCCGGAGAGGCAGGCGGAAUUCCUAGUGUAGCGGUGAAAUGCGUAGAUAUUAGGAGGAACACCAGUGGCGAAGGCGGCUCCCUGGACUGUAACUGACACUGAGGCACGAAAGCGUGGGUAGCAAACAGGAUUAGAUACCCUAGUAGA